rnacentral:rRNA from 1 species
CACGUAGGGCGCAAGCGUUGUCCGGAAUUAUUGGGCGUAAAGAGCUCGUAGGUGGUUUGUUACGUCUGCUGUGAAAACCUAGGGCUUAACCCUGGGCUUGCAGUGGAUACGGGCAGACUAGAGGUAGGUAGGGGAGAAUGGAAUUCCUGGUGUAGCGGUGAAAUGCGCAGAUAUCAGGAGGAACACCGGUGGCGAAGGCGGGUCUCUGGGCCAUAACUGACGCUGAGGAGCGAAAGCGUGGGGAGCGAACAGG